UACGUAGGGGGCUAGCGUUGUCCGGAAUCAUUGGGCGUAAAGCGCGUGUAGGCGGUCCGCUAAGUCGGCUGUGAAAGUCCAGGGCUCAACCCUGGGAUGCCGGUCGAUACUGGCGGACUAGAGUCCGGAAGAGGCGAGUGGAAUUCCCGGUGUAGCGGUGAAAUGCGCAGAUAUCAGGAAGAACACCUAUGGCGAAGGCAGCUCUCUGGGACGGUACUGACGCUGAGACGCGAAAGCGUGGGGAGCGAACAGG
rnacentral:rRNA from 1 species